AACACAGCCCCCUGAUUCUUCCCUCGUCUCUCCCAAAUCGCCGCCACCCACCUCCUCCUCUUCCUCCUCCGACGACCUCGCCGCCGGUCCCCCCUCCCCUCCUCCCGCCUUGGGGCUCCGGAGGCUGCCGGAUCCACCACAUCCCGCACCCAAUCCCUCUCACAUCUCAUCUGUCUCUUCACACGGCUCGUCGUUGCGCCACCUGCGGUGGCUGUUUGAAACGACGUACGGUGAAUCCCGCCACCGCGAAGCACAGGCUGAGGUCCCCUCGCACCACGGCGCCCUCCCACCCGAUUAGAUCCGGCGCUCACGGCCAUCAAAGCCCACCCGUGACCCUACCCCAUGGCUAGGGUUUCAGGAAUCGGCUCCGGCCUCCGGCACCAGUGGCCAUGUCGUCAUCCUCUCGUCCGAUGUGCAAGUAGGAACGACCAGUGGAUAGCCUUACUGCAGUUUGGGGCGUAGCCACGUUGCUUCCUCCUCUGGCUUCAGCUGCAUGCACCAAGUCGAUGUAGGGGGAUGCCAUGGAGCAAGCAGAGUUCAUGGAGCAACUCAUGGACGAUGCCAUGGAUGGUGUACAGAAUUAGCAAUGGAGCUGGUGAUGGCCAUAUAGAUUCAUUUCAGUGGGUUUUGGGCUGUAGGUUUGUUCCAAAGCGUGGCUGUGUCGUAUACUGUGGCGGCUGGAUUAGUCAUCAAUAACAACUAACACUCAUGGUGUUGUAAGUUGUGGUCUUAAAUUUAAACUUGAUGGUGCUAAAAUUACAAAUGAAUUCUAGGCAGUGCAUGUCGAUAUGGCACUUGUGAAAACUAAAGAUAUGGUAUGGAUUCACAAAAAAUGCAACACUCGGUAAUGCAGAAAAAACGAAGAUUGCAUGGCCUUCAACCUUUAUUCAGAAGAUAUCUGGAUGAUUAUAUGGGUGUGUGGAAAGUAUACUACACUGAUCAUGAUGAUGAUGAUGUCCUGGUUCAUAAUAAUGAUGAUGGUGGAUGCUUUCAGUUUUAAUUAAGUUGUAGGGAUGAUGUUCUUGUUGUGUGAUGUUCCCCAGUUAAGUUUUAGUUAAGUUGUAGGGAUGUUGAUAGUUGCUUUCAGCUUAAUCUUCGUUGUCAAGAAAAUUUUUAGAUUAUGCAUAGCACUUGGAUGAUGUUCCUCCUGUAAUAUAAACUAUUGUAAUUCAACAGUUUUAUUCAAUACAUGAUU